rnacentral:rRNA from 1 species
AACGAACGCUGGCGGCAUGCCUAACACAUGCAAGUCGAGCGCCCGUAGCAAUACGGGAGCGGCGCACGGGUGAGUAACGCGUGGGAACCUGCCCAGAGGUUCGGGACAACCGCGGGAAACUGCGGCUGAUACCGGAUGAUACCUGAGGGUCAAAGAUUUAUCGCCUUUGGAGGGGCCCGCGUCGGAUUAGGUAGUUGGUGGGGUAACGGCCUACCAAGCCUAUGAUCCGUAACUGGUCUGAGAGGAUGACCAGUCACACUGGGACUGAGACACGGCCCAGACUCCUACGGGAGGCAGCAGUGGGAGUAUUGGACAAU